UAUGCACGCUGGCGGCGUGCCUAAUACAUGCAAGUCGAGCGAACAGACGAGGAGCUUGCUCCUCUGACGUUAGCGGCGGACGGGUGAGUAACACGUGGAUAACCUACCUAUAAGACUGGGAUAACUUCGGGAAACCGGAGCUAAUACCGGAUAAUAUAUUGAACCGCAUGGUUCAAUAGUGAAAGACGGUUUUGCUGUCACUUAUAGAUGGAUCCGCGCCGCAUUAGCUAGUUGGUAAGGUAACGGCUUACCAAGGCAACGAUGCGUAGCCGACCUGAGAGGGUGAACGGCCACACUGGAACUGAGACACGGUCCAGACUCCUACGGGAGGCAGCAGUAGGGAAUCUUCCGCAAUGGGCGAAAGCUUGACGGAGCAACGCCGCGUGAGUGAUGAAGGUCUUCGGAUCGUAAAACUCUGUUAUUAGGGAAGAACAAAUGUGUAAGUAACUAUGCACGUCUUGACGGUACCUAAUCAGAAAGCCACGGCUAACUACGUG
rnacentral:rRNA from 1 species